rnacentral:pre_miRNA from 1 species
CUCCAGAAGCAGGUGAGCCACUGACUAACGCACAUUGUGCUGUUAGCGAUUCCACUGUGCGUGUGACAGCGGCUAACCUGUUUUUCGGACAU